rnacentral:lncRNA from 1 species
AUUACGUUUACAAGUGAGUUAACUAAUAUAUUUUUUUUAAGUAGUUAACUUCGUUUUGUAUCUAAACAUUCUUCAAAUGAACAUCGAGACUAACGUUGCUUUCGAACCAGCAUCUUUACCUAAGUUUAUCACAAAUAAUUUAAUUUCAUACCGUAAAACAAUGACAGACGAGGCAUAUUUUCUAUUUUUUUUUUCUCUCUCUCUUUCUAUUUUAGUAGCAUACAAUACCAAUUGGUGAUAGGAAAAGAAGAUUGUAGAAGAUCUUGGCGUGGUAGGUUAGCAUAAGAGAAGCAAUUGGUGGGGAACAUAUGCAAUUUUAAAUUCUUAGAUAAAGAGAAAUGGAUUACAUCCACAGCUUUCAAUUCAGGCGGCUACUCCAAAGAAGGAAACAAAGAUUAAAUUAUUGUCGUUUCAAUUUUAACAAAUCACUUUCAAAACUAUCAAUUCUUCACUUAAAAAAAGCGUUUUAUUUCAUUUUACUUCAAUUAAAAUUACAUGUUUAAUCUUCAAUGUUCAAAUAUUUGUAUAAGAAAAAAACAAUAAACGUUGUAUUUUAAUGUUAUGAAAUAAAAAGUGUUAAAUGAAUUUAAGUUGUAUUUUAAUCACUACGAAAUUAUGUAGUUUUUCUAAUGCUACAAGUAGUAUCAACUUUAGCAUUUAAAAAAUAAUAUUGUCAUUAAGGUCAAUCAAGUUGGUUAUACAAGUUUAUUAAAGUUAAGCAAUGU